AGUUCUUGUGUCACAGAGACUCUGAACUGUUUUCAUGCACUCACACUGAAAACUGCAUCAGGAUGAUGUUUCCAAUAACUCUGAUUGUCAUGUUGGGUUUUCUGACUCAGGAGUCGUUUGCCAACAAUUUUCUGACUCAGGCUGAUAAAUCCAAGUCUGUCAGUGUUGGAGGGACUGUGACCAUCAGCGCCACAGGGAGUUCAAAUAUAGGUGCUGAUCUCAGUUGGUACCUUCAGAAACCUGGACAGCCUCCUAAACUUCUUAUAUACAAAGCAUCAACUCUCUACUCAGGAACUCCGUCUAGAUUCAGAGGCAGUAGAUCUGAUUCUCAGUACACUUUAACCAUCAGUGGAGCUCAGGCUGAAGAUGCUGGAGAUUAUUACUGUCUUGGUGACCAUGGUGGUGCGUUUACACAGUGAAAUAGAGUCGUACAAAAACCUCCUCCAGUCUGACUGAAGGCUGCAGGUGCAGAGAGUUGGUGAAGAGACAGUGAUGAGGAGAACUGGUCCAGUGAACACAACACUAGAGUCAUCAAGCAGAAACUUUUAU